UNUGAACUGGGUGACUAGAGUGUGUCAGAGGGAGGUAGAAUUCCACGUGUAGCAGUGAAAUGCGUAGAGAUGUGGAGGAAUACCGAUGGCGAAGGCAGCCUCCUGGGAUAACACUGACGUUCAUGCCCGAAAGCGUGGGUAGCAAACAGGAUUAGAUACCCUGGUAGUCCACGCCCUAAACGAUGUCGAUUAGCUGUUGGGCAGCAUGACUGCUUAGUAGCGAAGCUAACGCGUGAAAUCGACCGCCUGGGGAGUACGGUCGCAAGAUUAAAACUCAAAGGAAUUGACGGGGACCCGCACAAGCGGUGGAUGAUGUGGAUUAAUUCGAUGCAACGCGAAGAACCUUACCUGGUCUUGACAUGUACGGAACCCUCCAGAGACGGAGGGGUGCCUUCGGGAGCCGUAACACAGGUGCUGCAUGGCUGUCGUCAGCUCGUGUCGUGAGAUGUUGGGUUAAGUCCCGCAACGAGCGCAACCCUUGUCAUUAGUUGCCAUCAUUAAGUUGGGCACUCUAAUGAGACUGCCGGUGACAAGCCGGAGGAAGGUGGGGAUGACGUCAAGUCCUCAUGGCCCUUAUGACCAGGGCUUCACACGUCAUACAAUGGUCGGUACAGAGGGUAGCCAAGCCGCGAGGUGGAGCCAAUCUCACAAAACCGAUCGUAGUCCGGAUUGCACUCUGCAACUCGAGUGCAUGAAGUCGGAAUCGCUAGUAAUCGCAGGUCAGCAUACUGCGGUGAAUACGUUCCCGGGUCUUGUACA
rnacentral:rRNA from 1 species